rnacentral:rRNA from 1 species
GAUGAACGCUGGCGGCGUGCCUAAUACAUGCAAGUCGAGCGAACAGACGAGGAGCUUGCUCCUCUGACGUUAGCGGCGGACGGGUGAGUAACACGUGGAUAACCUACCUAUAAGACUGGGAUCACUUCGGGAAACCGGAGCUAAUACCGGAUAAUAUAUUGAACCGCAUGGUUCAAUAGUGAAAGACGGUUUUGCUGUCACUUAUAGCUGGAUCCGCGCCGCAUUAGCUAGUUGGUAAGGUAACGGCUUACCAAGGCGACGAUGCGUAGCCGACCUGAGAGGGUGAUCGGCCACCCUGGAACUGAGACACGGUCCAGACUCCUACGGGAGGCAGCAGUAGGGAAUCGUCCGCAAUGGGCGGAAGCCUGACGGAGCAACGCCGCGUGAGUGAUGAAGGUCUUCGGAUCGGAAAACUCUGUUAUUAGGGAAGAACAAAUGUGUAAGUAACUAUGCACGGCUUGACGGUACCUAAUCAGAAAGCCACGGCUAACUACGUG